UACGUAGGCAGCGAGCGUUGUUCGGAAUUACUGGGCGUAAAGCGUGCGCAGGCGGUUUUGUAAGCCAGAUGUGAAAUCCCCGGGCUUAACCUGGGAAUGGCAUUUGGGACUGCAAGGCUGGAGUGCGGCAGAGGAGACUGGAAUUCCUGGUGUAGCAGUGAAAUGCGUAGAUAUCAGGAGGAAUACCGAUGGCGAAGGCAGGUCUCUGGGCUGACACUGACGCUCAUGCACGAAAGCGUGGGGAGCAAACAGG
rnacentral:rRNA from 1 species